ensembl:lncRNA
UGAGUCCCAGCUCUUGGUUUUGCUUCAGAAAACAUACCUGCCCAUCAAGAUUGUGACCCCGAAAGCCAGGGUCCCUUUCUCUGUCCUGUCUGAGGCUCUCCCUCCAAAUUCCAGGUUGAAGUUGGAAAAAUGGGCUCCCUUCCCUCCCCACCAACAUUACUCUUCCUCCAGUGAGCCCUCCAUCCUUACAAGCAGAGAAGGACCGUGUGCUGCCCAAGAGCCACCUGAGCACCGCAAGCCAGAGUCGCCCCAGGGAGCGUCUGUCACAGGCUGAAUAAUGCCACCAGGAACACAGAAGAACAGAUACUUCUUUGAGAGAAUGAUUUCCUUUCCUUGGGCUACAUACCUAGAAGUGGAAUUGCUGAAUCAUAUGUUGUUGAAGACAAUAAAGAUUUUAAACUUCACCUUCUUGACCUGAAUCUGAAAAUAAUGGCUUUCUCCUCCCAGUUCCAAUUCCAGCACUUAGAUGGAGUGACAGAAGAAGGAGCUCUGAGUUAGACACGCCGAGAAAAGGCCACUUGAGGUCACAGUAGGAAGGUGUCCAUCUGCAAGCCAGGAAGAGAGACCCCACGAGAAACAGAACAUGGCUUUGGACUUCUGGCCUCUAGAACUGUGAGCAAACAAAUGUCUGUAGUUUAAGCCACCCGGCCUGGUAUUUUGUUAAUGUCGACCCGAGCAGACCAAGACAUCUGGAGACACAUGGAGCCUUUCAGCUGGAGCUUCAGGACUAUGCUGUACUUGCCACUGAAGGCUCAGCCUGUCCUUGACAUACCAAGCCAUUAACUUGAAAUCAGAAAAGGUCUGAGAGGCCUCUACAUUCUUUCCUGUGAUUAUCAGGCCCUACGCUAGCUGGAUAUAAAGUCACCGGGCUGGAAGGGGAAAAAGAAUUGGCCUAAACGGUCAUGGAAAAGUCUAAACAGAAGAUUUUCUUUCUCUC